GAGUAUGCAACAAACUUCUUCGAAAGAGAGGCAAUCUAGAAAUAAUUGAGACAAGGGCAGAAGCCAAAGGACAAUGAAAAAAUUUCAGAAACAGGGUUGUUUGAAACUGAAGAUGCUAUACUUGAGGCUUUUUGUGGCAUCGGCUUCUGAAUUCAACUCUGAAGUGAAUGUGUUGCAUUGCUUUCAAGUGUGGUGGUGAUGAAUUACUGAAGAAAUUUCAAUCAGAGGUA
rnacentral:lncRNA from 10 species